rnacentral:rRNA from 1 species
CCUACGGGAGGCAGCAGUGAGGAAUAUUGGUCAAUGGGCGAGAGCCUGAACCAGCCAAGUCGCGUGAAGGAUGACGGCCCUACGGGUUGUAAACUUCUUUUGUCAGGGAGCAAUUGAGUCCACGUGUGGUCUUAGCGAGAGUACCUGAAGAAAAAGCAUCGGCUAACUCCGUGCCAGCAGCCGCGGUAAUACGGAGGAUCCGAGCGUUAUCCGGAUUUAUUGGGUUUAAAGGGAGCGUAGAUGGGUUGUUAAGUCAGUUGUGAAAGUUUGCGGCUCAACCGUAAAAUUGCAAUUGAUACUGGCAGCCUUGAGUACAGUUGAGGUAGGCGGAAUUCGUGGUGUAGCGGGGAAAUGCUUAGAUAUCACGAAGAACUCCGAUUGCGAAGGCAGCUUACUAAACUGCCACUGACAUUGAUGCUCGAAAGUGUGGGUAUCAAACAGGAUUAGAUACCCUUGUAGUC